rnacentral:rRNA from 1 species
CAGCAGUGGGGAAUAUUGGACAAUGGGGGGAACCCUGAUCCAGCCAUGCCGCGUGUGUGAAGAAGGCCUUAUGGUUGUAAAGCACUUUAAGCGAGGAGGAGGCUACUGAGACUAAUACUCUUGGAUAGUGGACGUUACUCGCAGAAUAAGCACCGGCUAACUCUGUGCCAGCAGCCGCGGUAAUACAGAGGGUGCGAGCGUUAAUCGGAUUUACUGGGCGUAAAGCGUGCGUAGGCGGCUUUUUAAGUCGGAUGUGAAAUCCCCGAGCUUAACUUGGGAAUUGCAUUCGAUACUGGGAAGCUAGAGUAUGGGAGAGGAUGGUAGAAUUCCAGGUGUAGCGGUGAAAUGCGUAGAGAUCUGGAGGAAUACCGAUGGCGAAGGCAGCCAUCUGGCCUAAUACUGACGCUGAGGUACGAAAGCAUGGGGAGCAAACAGGAUUAGA